rnacentral:rRNA from 1 species
UCUCUUCUGUCUCCCUAGUAGCCUCCUUCUCCUCCUGACCGCCGACUAAACCGUGACUUAGAGAAUGGAGAAGGGCUCUGGUCUGAGGAGAACCUAAAAGUCGACAUCCCAACCUGACCUCGUUCGAAAGGUAGAGUUAAGAGUAAAAGAUUCCGUGUUACUCGUGUGUCUCACAUUAAGGACACUUUGUAAAGUAACGAGGACUGUAGUCCCGAGUGUGGACGUUACGAGGUGUUGGAAGUCAGGUAGUUUACAAGUUACGAUUUAGGCUAUAAAUGUCAAGCCGUCUACUAUGAAGGGCUCAGAGCAUACGACUGGAUAGUCUGGGCUUAAGUAGGUCGAGAAGGUGUAAGACGUGUUCGUACAUGAGUAGCAGCAGCUGUUUUGGGUCACCUAAAAGAAAGGACGGGGUAGGAAGAUUUACACUCGUCGUCGUCCAUAGUCGACGUUUUAGUAGCUCGAGAAGAAACGACAAACGACGACUAGGUUCGUGACCGCAAGUACCACUAGAACUUGUAGGUGAACUAGAGUUCCUGAAGGAAUUGGAGAGGCCGUUGCGAAGACUGUCAUCGAAGGCACCUCCUCCGUUACGGUACCUAAAGUCACUCGUCGACCUCAAAGUCAAGAACAGACUUGUUGAACCCUAACGGUAGUGGCUGUUGCUCCUCUCGGGAGCCAAUCUACUGUAUAUACCGUAUGGCGGCGUUACGAGUGGAUCAGAUCAUAGGGGAAGGAGACUGGUACUCCUAGACGCGUCACCCCCAAGAGGCCAACUUCGGGUCAACUGCAGUAGUGUAAGAAGUAGACCUCGUUGUACAUCGUUUUGCUCUUACUCUACCUGUGAACUCGAGGUACUCGCAAAACACCUCCGAGACUUUUUCGAGCCUCCUGGCCUUUUCCGUUGAGGGUUCCCACACGACUUCGAAUACUUCCAUCUUCCGAACUGUUAGAAAGUGCAUUUCUCGGUAAACGUCUUGAUAGCUGUACACUUCAUAUAAGGCCUCUUUUUUCUUCACUUCUCUGGUACAAGUCUUCUAUUGUUGCGUUUUAGUCGUAGACCUUAACUAAGACCGUUGUUCUUAAGUGUAGCUAAAGGUAAAGAAUCCUCAAAAGUUUACCGCCUUUGAGAUGCCUACGUUUACCUCCAAGUCUUUGUCGAGGUACUCGUUGAUCUCCACGUUUCCCUUAAUGUCGACGCGUAUCUCCUCGUACGUUCUAUAAACGUCGUCUAUGAUCUUGUUGUCUUCCGGUCUUUUAGAUGCCACGGCUUUGGUCUCCUCUUUUGUCUCCAGUUGUGGUGAAGUCGAGGCGGCGACUUCGCAUUUUAAAGUCUGUGGCUUAUCUUGUGUUGAGCGUCUACCUAUCGUCUUCCGGUC